GCACAAGCCGCGCCGGGGGGUAGAAGAUGAGGAGGCUGCGAGGGACCCCGAGUCAGACCUUCGGGGCCACAAGAAAGUGUCCGAGCGCCUCGCAGACUGCAGCAAGGGAAACGUCCCUUAAAAGUGCGACGAGGUGGGGACGAGGUGCAAUUAUUAUUAUCAGCAUCUAGAAAGCAUCAUGCAGGCAGUGACCUCCAUACUGCAUUGUUCUUACUGGAUCUUCCUAUCAAUGAACAUUAUGGAACUACCAAAACAGCAUCAAGUCCUUCUUGGAUGGAAAGUUUUCAAACUUCUUCAUUUGGAGUUACUUAAACAUUAGGAUGUUGGGAUUCUUGAUGAUGCCUUUCCUAUGUGGAUUACUACAAUUUGGUUACUGGGAAUUCUCUACCUCAAAGAAGUACUCUCAGGUGACUACGGAAGCAUUAGCAUCCUGCAUGCUCAGUUUCAUGCCCAAGCAUGAUGUCACUCACAUGACUUUGGUACAUCUCAAGUCCUUUUGCAAAUGGAAA
rnacentral:lncRNA from 1 species